rnacentral:rRNA from 1 species
CCUACGGGGGGCAGCAGUGGGGAAUUUUGCACAAUGGGCGAAAGCCUGAUGCAGCAACGCCGCGUGUGUGAUGAAGGUCUUCGGAUUGUAAAGCACUUUCGACCGGGACGCGGUACCGGGAGAAGAAGCACCGGCUAACUCUGUGCCAGCAGCCGCGGUAAUACAGAGGGUGCAAGCGUUGUUCGGAAUUAUUGGGCGUAAAGCGCGUGUAGGCGGCUUUGCAAGUCGGGUGUGAAAUCCCUCAGCUCAACUGAGGAAGUGCGCCCGAAACUGCAGAGCUUGAGUACCGGAGAGGAUGGCGGAAUUCCCCAAGUAGAGGUGAAAUUCGUAGAUAUGGGGAGGAACACCGGGGCGAAGGCGGCCAUCUGGACGAACUGACGCUGAGACGCGAAAGCGUGGGUAGCAAACAGGAUUAGAUACCCUUGUAGUC